rnacentral:rRNA from 1 species
AUUGAACGCUGGCGGCAUGCUUUACACAUGCAAGUCGAACGGUAACAGGCCGCAAGGUGCUGACGAGUGGCGAACGGGUGAGUAAUGCAUCGGAACGUGCCCAGUCGUGGGGGAUAACGCAGCGAAAGCUGUGCUAAUACCGCAUACGAUCUAUGGAUGAAAGCGGGGGACCGUAAGGCCUCGCGCGAUUGGAGCGGCCGAUGUCAGAUUAGGUAGUUGGUGGGGUAAAGGCCCACCAAGCCAACGAGCUGUAGCUGGUCUGAGAGGACGACCAGCCACACUGGGACUGAGACACGGCCCAGACUCCUACGGGAGGCAGCAGUGGGGAAUUUUGGACAAUGGGCGCAAGCCUGAUCCAGCAAUGCCGCGUGCAGGAAGAAGGCCUUCGGGUUGUAAACUGCUUUUGUACGGAACGAAAAGGUCUGGGUUAAUACCCUGGGCCGAUGACGGUACCGUAAGAAUAAGCACCGGCUAACUACGUGCCAGCCGCCGCCGUAA